rnacentral:rRNA from 2 species
UGGGGAAUAUUGCACAAUGGGGGAAACCCUGAUGCAGCCAUGCCGCGUGUGUGAAGAAGGCCUUCGGGUUGUAAAGCACUUUCAGCGAGGAGGAAAGGUUGGUAGCUAAUAACUGCCAGCUGUGACGUUACUCGCAGAAGAAGCACCGGCUAACUCCGUGCCAGCAGCCGCGGUAAUACGGAGGGUGCAAGCGUUAAUCGGAAUUACUGGGCGUAAAGCGCACGCAGGCGGUUGGAUAAGUUAGAUGUGAAAGCCCCGGGCUCAACCUGGGAAUUGCAUUUAAAACUGUCCAGCUAGAGUCUUGUAGAGGGGGGUAGAAUUCCAGGUGUAGCGGUGAAAUGCGUAGAGAUCUGGAGGAAUACCGGUGGCGAAGGCGGCCCCCUGGACAAAGACUGACGCUCAGGUGCGAAAGCGUGGGGAGCAAACA